rnacentral:lncRNA from 1 species
AGGCACAAGAGCUCACUGGCCAAUCCCUAGGCUUUGGAGAGCUCUACUCUUUUUCCCUUGCAAGGUUUUGUCCCAAUGGGUUUUCCUUGUAAGGUUUUUAAUGAGGGAGACUCUUCAGAGUUCCAAGCUUGGCUUAGGAUCUCCUAAAGUCAAGCUUGAGGGGGAGUGUUGAACUGAAGAGAAGAUAGAGCUUGUACAAUAAAAGGGCAAGCUCUAGAAGAUGUCCAGAAGAGUUCAAUCAAGCUUCAGAAGUGAUUAGAAGCUGAUGCAAAGAAGAUACAAGAUCUAAGAAGUGUCUUGAAGGUGUAUACAAGACAUUGGAGGAGUUUGGGAGAUUAUGGUCGAUGGUGCAAAGUUAGGGAUCAGCCUGUACGGACGGACGUACGGAUGGUACGGACCGUACGGACAUGAUCGACCCAAAACUUAUCAGGUAGACCACUUGAGCACAUUUGAGGAAUGUGCAAUCUUAGGGUACAAGGUGUACGGUCAUGACAUCCGUACAGCCAAGUCUGAUCAUGUCUUGGGAGACAAGUUAAGGAGAAGGGCGUGUGAAACUAUCCAAGGGAGAAAGAUCCAUUUGGCAUAUUCAAAGAUGCCUUAGGAAGCAACCAGGAAGGUGCCUUUCUCUCCAGCUCACACAGACCAAUCACAGCAAAGUAUUCAGUCCACAAGACAGCUCAUGACAGCCUGUAAAGGCCAGACACACCAAAGACUCCCAUUGGCCAAGCAUGUGAUGAUUCUGGUCCAUAGAAUUCAAAUGGGCGCUCCCCUUUAUGCUGACUUCACAUGCUUAGGUUAUCUGAUGAAUCCAGCCUCCAUUUAUGUAUUUAAGCUUCUUGUAAAC